GACGAACGCUGGCGGCGCGCCUAACACAUGCAAGUCGAACGAGCGAGAGAGAGCUUGCUUUCUCGAGCGAGUGGCGAACGGGUGAGUAACGCGUGAGGAACCUGCCUCAAAGAGGGGGACAACAGUUGGAAACGACUGCUAAUACCGCAUAAGCCCACGGCUCGGCAUCGAGCAGAGGGAAAAGGAGCAAUCCGCUUUGAGAUGGCCUCGCGUCCGAUUAGCUAGUUGGUGAGGUAACGGCCCACCAAGGCAACGAUCGGUAGCCGGACUGAGAGGUUGAACGGCCACAUUGGGACUGAGACACGGCCCAGACUCCUACGGGAGGCAGCAGUGGGGAAUAUUGCACAAUGGGGGAAACCCUGAUGCAGCGACGCCGCGUGGAGGAAGAAGGUCUUCGGAUUGUAAACUCCUGUUGUUGAGGAAGAUAAUGACGGU
rnacentral:rRNA from 1 species